AAAUUAUGUUGUAAAUGGCUUUUACACUACGAUUGCAAAUCGUCAGGAAGAGGUUCGAUUCCUCCAUAGUUUU
rnacentral:tRNA from 1 species